GGAGGUGGAUGGAGGAUCGCUGGCGUCGCUGCCCUCGGGCGGCGAUUGCGGGAGGAAAGUCCGGGCUCCACAGGGCAGGGAGGUCGCUAACGGCGACCCGGGGAAACUCGAGGGAAAGCGCCGCAGAAACUACACCGCCGAUGGCCGGGUCUCUCCGGAGGACCGGCACAGGCAAGGGUGAAAUCGUGGGGUAAGAGCCCACGCGCGACAGCCGGGCGACCGGCGGCGGGGCAAGCCCCUCCCGGAGCAAACUCAAAUAGGGACACCGCCGAGGGCGGCCCGUUCGAGUCCGAGAGGACCGGUGUCCGGGUAGAGCGCUCGAGCGGCGCAGCAAUGCGUCGCCUAGAUGAAUGAUCCUCGCCGGCGCGAAAGCCGCGUCGGAACAGAACCCGGCUUACAAUCCGCUCCGGGG
rnacentral:RNase_P_RNA from 2 species